CUGCCCGAGAACGGGAACAAGGAGACGGGUCUGGAGAGGGUCAUCGACAGCGUGGCGUUGUUCAAGAAGCCGGGCGUGACGGGGCGGGGCCUGUACGAGCU